CAGUAGCCGCGGUAAUACAGAGGGUGCAAGCGUUAAUCGGAAUUACUGGGCGUAAAGCGCGCGUAGGUGGUUUGUUAAGUUGGAUGUGAAAUCCCCGGGCUCAACCUGGGAACUGCAUUCAGAACUGACUGACUAGAGUAUGGUAGAGGGUGGUGGAAUUUCCUGUGUAGCGAUGAAAUGCGUAGAUAUAGGAAGGAACACCAGUGGCGAAGGCGACCACCUGGACUAAUACUGACACUGAGGUGCGAAAGCGUGGGGAGCAAACAGGAUUAGAUACCCCCGUAGUCCCUGUCUCUUAUAC
rnacentral:rRNA from 1 species